rnacentral:rRNA from 1 species
UACGUAGGGUGCAAGCGUUGUCCGGAAUUAUUGGGCGUAAAGAGCUCGUAGGCGGUUUGUCGCGUCGACUGUGAAAACCCGAGGCUUAACCUCGGGCCUGCAGUCGAUACGGGCAGACUAGAGUGCGGUAGGGGUGACUGGAAUUCCUGGUGUAGCGGUGGAAUGCGCAGAUAUCAGGAGGAACACCGAUGGCGAAGGCAGGUCACUGGGCCGCAACUGACGCUGAGGAGCGAAAGCAUGGGGAGCGAACAGG